GACGAACGCUGGCGGCGUGCUUAACACAUGCAAGUCGAACGGAAAGGCCCUGCUUUUGUGGGGUGCUCGAGUGGCGAACGGGUGAGUAACACGUGAGUAACCUGCCCUUGACUUUGGGAUAACUUCAGGAAACUGGGGCUAAUACCGGAUAGGAGCUCCUGCUGCAUGGUGGGGGUUGGAAAGUUUCGGCGGUUGGGGAUGGACUCGCGGCUUAUCAGCUUGUUGGUGGGGUAGUGGCUUACCAAGGCUUUGACGGGUAGCCGGCCUGAGAGGGUGACCGGCAAAAUGGGGAGGGGAAUACGCCCCGAACCCUCACGGGGGGAAGAGGGGGGAAAUUUUGCAAAGGGGGGGGAAGCCUGAGGAAGCAACGCCGGGGGGGGGAUGACGGCCUUCGGGUUGUAAACCGCUUUCGCCUGUGACGAAGCGUGGGGAACGGAAAUGGGGAAAAAAACACCGGCAAACUACGU
rnacentral:rRNA from 1 species